GACACGAUACGGAGGUACAGCGAUAGGA
rnacentral:piRNA from 1 species